CUGGCGGCGGCCUACACAUGNCAGUCGAGCGGAUGAGAAGAGCUUGCUCUUCGAUUCAGCGGCGGACGGGUGAGUAAUGCCUAGGAAUCUGCCUGGUAGUGGGGGACAACGUUUCGAAAGGAACGCUAAUACCGCAUACGUCCUACGGGAGAAAGCAGGGGACCUUCGGGCCUUGCGCUAUCAGAUGAGCCUAGGUCGGAUUAGCUAGUUGGUGGGGUAAUGGCUCACCAAGGCGACGAUCCGUAACUGGUCUGAGAGGAUGAUCAGUCACACUGGAACUGAGACACGGUCCAGACUCCUACGGGAGGCAGCAGUGGGGAAUAUUGGACAAUGGGCGAAAGCCUGAUCCAGCCAUGCCGCGUGUGUGAAGAAGGUCUUCGGAUUGUAAAGCACUUUAAGUUGGGAGGAAGGGCAGUAAAUUAAUACUUUGCUGUUUUGACGUUACCGACAGAAUAAGCACCGGCUAACUCUGUGCCAGCAGCCGCGGUAAU
rnacentral:rRNA from 1 species